GUUUCAGUGCUCCAGUGGUUAGGAUUCAACCCUUCCAAGGUUGAGGGGGGGCUCGGUUCCCUCUUGACGCC